GAGCUUCAUGAACCUUUAUGAUGUUCACAUAAUGGAGUACAGAGAGACCUUUUCAUUUGGCAACACCAUUCAUCACCAUUCAUCAUGUUCACUGUUAUACUGAUGUGCCUGUGGCUUUCACUAAGUGACUCCAUGGCAGAUCCAAUAAAGGCACUUUUCACUCAUAAAGUUGUAGAUGAAGGUGAUGAUGUUACUCUUUCCUGCAGCUACAAAGACUUCAGUGGUACUGCACAGAGUCUGUUCUGGUACAGACAAUAUCCUAAAUCUAAUCCUGAGUAUCUUCUUUACAUACUUCGAAGUGGAGGUAAAAGUAACCCUCUUCCACCACGUCUGGAUGCUAAAGUUGAUGAUAAAGAUAAAAAACAAGUGUAUCUGAACAUCUCCUCUGCUGCUGUAUCAGACUCUGCUCUAUAUUACUGUGCUCUGCAGCCCACAGUGGCAGGAAAUCCAGCUGCACUGUACAAAAACUAA